rnacentral:rRNA from 1 species
CAGUAGCCACGGUAAUACGGAGGGGGCUAGCGUUGUUCGGAAUUACUGGGCGUAAAGCGCACGUAGGCGGCUUGGUAAGUUAGAGGUGAAAGCCUGGAGCUCAACUCCAGAAUUGCCUUUAAGACUGCCGAGCUAGCAGGUGAGAGAGGUAAGUGGAAUUCCGAGUGUAGAGGUGAAAUUCGUAGAUAUUCGCAAGAACACCAGUGGCGAAGGCGGCUCACUGGCCCGAUGCUGACGCUGAGGUGCGAAAGCGUGGGGAGCAAACAGGAUUAGAUACCCGCGUAGUCCCUGUCUCUUAUAC